CUUGAACAAUAAUAAAUUAAAUCUAACACUUACGUCAUUGACGAAAAAGAACUAGUCUUUCUAGAUCUAAAGAUUCUACUAAUGGAGGAUGGCACUAUUCAGACUGAAUUACUCAGAACAUUGACUUCAACCAAUAGCCUCCUCCAUUAGGAGAGUCAUCACCCACACAAGCUGAAGGCGUCAGUCCCAUAUGGUCAAUACCUGAGAGCAAGGAGGAAGUGCUCUCAGGACUCUACUUACUACAAGAAAUGCCAAGUCCUAAAAAAAAACACUUUAGGGCUUUGGGGUAUCCAAACGGGGUCCGUAAGAGAGCUUAUCAACGUGCCAGUGAGACAAACAGACUAGCAAGUUUGAAAUCCAUGUCACAUCAAACUUCUCAACUCCCAGAUGUGUAGCCACUUUUGACAGUGGCUGGAGCACGAUGACAUACUUUUUUCCAAGCACUGGCCCAUACUAUUGCAUAAUUCCACACUCAAACAGUCAUUACCCAUUUAUCCAUCAAUUACAGCCCGCAGGUCCAAGAAUCUUAAAGACCUUUUAGUACACAGCUACCCGGCUCUUAUUCCCUCGAAAUCCUAUUGGCUUACCAACAUCAAGGGAACAUACAGAUGUGGCCAUUGCAAGGCUUGCGAUUUAAUUACUCCCUCGCAGUCCACCACAUCAACGCAGUCAAAAAUUACCAUAAAAACUAAUGCAUUGGUGAAUUGUAGCACUACACGAUUAAUAUAUUUAAUCACGUGUGACUGCGGCAUUCAAUACAUUGGGAAAACCUUCCAACAAUUUUGCCGUCGGAUUCUCUAACAUGUGAAUUCUAUUAAAAUACCAUAACACCGACAUCUGUAGCUAGAUAUAUUGUACAUUUUCACAAUGGCAAUGUGGACAAUUUGAGAUUCCAAGCUAUUGAAAAACUGGUACCAAAUCCUAGGAAAGGCAACUUCAACCAACAGUUGCUCCAAAAAGAAUCCCAAUGGCUUUAUUUGUUCAGAAC